rnacentral:rRNA from 1 species
UACGUAGGGUGCGAGCGUUGUCCGGAAUUAUUGGGCGUAAAGGGCUCGUAGGCGGUCUGUCACGUCGGGAGUGAAAACACGGGGCUUAACCCCGUGCCUGCUUCCGAUACGGGCAGACUAGAGGUAUGCAGGGGAGAACGGAAUUCCUGGUGUAGCGGUGAAAUGCGCAGAUAUCAGGAGGAACACCGGUGGCGAAGGCGGAUCUCUGGGCCGAUACUGACGCUGAGGAGCGAAGCGUGGGAGCGAACAGG